rnacentral:rRNA from 1 species
UUGAACGCUGGCGGCAGGCCUAACCCAUGCCAGUCGAGCGGAUGAAGGGAGCUUGCUCCUGGAUUCAGCGGCGGGCGGGUGAGUAAUGCCUAGGAAUCUGCCUGGUAGUGGGGGAUAACGUCCGGAAACGGGCGCUAAUACCGCAUACGUCCUGAGGGAGAAAGUGGGGGAUCUUCGGACCUCACGCUAUCAGAUGAGCCUAGGUCGGAUUAGCUAGUUGGUGGGGUAAAGGCCUACCAAGGCGACGAUCCGUAACUGGUCUGAGAGGAUGAUCAGUCACACUGGAACUGAGACACGGUCCAGACUCCUACGGGAGGCAGCAGUGGGGAAUAUUGGACAAUGGGCGAAAGCCUGAUCCAGCCAUGCCGCGUGUGUGAAGAAGGUCUUCGGAUUGUAAAGCACUUUAAGUUGGGAGGAAGGGCAGUAAGUUAAUACCUUGCUGUUUUGACGUUACCAACAGAAUAAGCACCGGCUAACUUCGUG